CUCCUCCUCGAGGAGCCGCUCCUCGGCGAGGGCUAUGGUUUCCUUGGCCGCCCGCAGGAUCUCCACCGCCCGCUGGAACUCCUGAGUGGCCUUUUGGGCUUCAACCUGGGCCUGGAGUUCAGGGAGAAGGGACCUGACAACAGGAGCUGCAGCACAUCUCUGUCCUAUUACACACCGGUCUUUAUUGGAGCUGGUUAUUAUCCUGCUUGACGCAGCUCCACUAUACGGUCUAUGACCUCCACAUGGGAUUGACAGUUGGUUUCCUUCGCCCCCUGGUGGCGAGGACCCAGGAGCACAGCAGAGGGGUGGACAGCACAGUCGCUCUCGCAGCUUCCCUUCAUCAUGAGGCAAUGAAACACAGGCCUCCUGGACCCGUCUGACACACCACACAGAAAGAAAAACUGUUCAUAAUCUCCUGCAAAUUCUCAAAUAGUGGAUGAGCCACAUUUUUGCUCAGCUGAGAGGAGCCUUUAUCAUAUUGGACACAUGCCUUUAUUUUGAAAGACAAAAAAGUCACAGUAAACUCUGUAAUAAAUUUAAUGAAAAUGAAAAACAGUCUUUCUCUUUGGUAAAAGGAUUUUACUCCUUAUAUUGAGGUCCACUUAACACUUGUUAUGAAGCUUUCUACUGAGCUGCAGUCAUCCUCCACUCAAAGCUCCACAGAAACUGGAUCUUGAAUGAAAGGUCACCUGCUGUUUCUUAGUUCAAGAAUGAGGUCAUCUCAAAUAACAGCUCCAUAUACAGUAUUUUCAAAUUGGAGCUGGAUGGAUGCAUAGAAUGUACGAGUUUCAGAUCUGUCACGCUGCAUACUGGCAUAGGCAGGGUAUUGUUUUCAACCCUGUGUGUGUGUGUGUGUGUGUGUGUGUGUGUGUGUGUGUGUGUGUGUGUGUGUGUGUGUGUGUGCGUGUGUGUGUGCGUGUUGGUCCAAAACAAUAUUGUUCUUUCUCUGAUUAAACAUCAUUCUGAACGUGUAUGUAACACAAUGCAAUAGAAGUGAAAACACAGUGUCUAACAUACAUGAAAAGGUGUAUCACUGUUUAAAGCAUGUAUGCAAAAAGAAAUGGUUCACGUAAGUUGUAGUGUAUAGUAAACUGUAAACUUUCUAAAUCAUGGUUCUUCCACCUAGAAAUAUCAGUUAAUUCAAAGCUGUUGUCUCACAUACAGGAUUAGAGAUGCUUAUACAUGCUUUGAUUUCCUCCUGUAUUGACUGCAAUG